AUGGACACGAAGCAGAUUCUGAUUGUUCCGCCGAAGGUAUCGGUUCUUUCUGUCAGCGAAUCCUUUAAACCGCGAAAAAUCUCGGUUCUACACAAGGUGAAAGGAACAAAUGGGAAGGAUUCGGUGACGCAAUGGCCUCUUGAAUUAACGAUUGCGGAAGAACAAAGUGUAACAAUGAACUGUAAUUACACUGGCGAUCCUACAUAUAUUUUUUGGUACAUUCAGCAUCGGGUGGAAUCUCCAAGAUAUUUGCUGACGGUAUAUAGCACUGGGAUAAUGGACCGGAAUCCAGCGAGGUUUACCGCUGGUUGGCAGCGUGACAGCAAGGCAGCCCAUUUGAACAUCUCUGGUGCUCUUGUGUCGGAUUCCGCCGUUUAUCUUUGUGCCAUGAUGCCCACAGUGUUGCAAGGCGAUGCCGGCUCUGGACAAAAUCCGAACUCCGUGAUGCAGUGA